rnacentral:tRNA from 1 species
GCCGAAGUGGUGGAAUUGGCAGACGCGCCGGACUCAAAAUCCGGUGGGCUUUGGCCCGUGUGGGUUCGACUCCCACCUUCGGCACCA